rnacentral:rRNA from 1 species
UAACAAGGAUUCCCCUAGUAACGGCGAGCGAAGCGGGAAGAGCUCAAAUUUGAAAGCUGGCGUCUUCGGCGUCCGCGUUGUAAUCUCGAGACGUGUUUUCCGUGCGGCUCUAUGGACAAGUCCCUUGGAACAGGGCAUCGUAGAGGGUGAAAAUCCCGUACUUGCCAUGGAAGUACCGUGCUUUGUGAUACACGCUCCAAGAGUCGAGUAGUUUGGGAUUGCUGCUCAAAGUGGGUGGUAGACUCCAUCUAAAGCUAAAUAUCGGGGAGAGACCGAUAGCGAACAAGUACCGUGAGGGAAAGAUGAAAAGCACUUUGGAAAGAGAGUUAAAAGUACGUGAAAUUGUCGAAAGGGAAGCACUUGAAGUCAGCCAUGCUGCUUGAGACUCAGCCUGGCUUUUGCUUGGUGUAUUUCUCGGUAGCAAGCCAGCAUUGGUUUGUGUCGUCGGAGAAGCGUAUGGGGAAUGUGGCAUCCUCGGAUGUGUUAUAGCCCUGUGCAGGAUACGACGGCGUAGACCAAGGAACGCAGUGUGCCCUCUGGGCGGGUCUUCGGACACCUUCACACUUAGGAU